GGGCGUUAAGUUGCAGGGUAUAGACCCGAAACCCGGUGAUCUAGCCAUGGGCAGGUUGAAGGUUGGGUAACACUAACUGGAGGACCGAACCGACUAAUGUUGAAAAAUUAGCGGAUGACCUGUGGCUGGGGGUGAAAGGCCAAUCAAACCGGGAGAUAGCUGGUUCUCCCCGAAAGCUAUUUAGGUAGCGCCUCGUGAAUUCAUCUCCGGGGGUAGAGCACUGUUUCGGCUAGGGGGCCAUCCCGGCUUACCAACCCGAUGCAAACUGCGAAUACCGGAGAAUGUUAUCA
rnacentral:rRNA from 1 species